UGCGGCGUUGGAGGGUCAGAGAUGAAGAACACCCCAGACCAGAGGAACAAAUGAGAGUCUGUCUCCUUUAACUGGAGGCUGCGUCUCCUUUAAUGUGGACCAGGAGCUGUCAGAGGACGUCCUGUGUCUCUAACUGGUGUCAGCGUGAAGUCUGUCUUCUGUCCUCCAGCUCUGCUCACAGCGAAACAACUCUGACCUCCAGACUUUAAAACUGGAGGAACUGAGAAAUGUUAACCUCUGACCUCUGACCCCGAGGCUCCCAGCAUGCAUUAGCAGAUGAACUAAGCCAACUACGGACUGAAGGACUGAAGGUGGAGGAGAAGACAGUCCAGAGUGAGCAGCAGGUUAUUAAAACUGAUGAAAAACUGGUCGGGAAAGUGUGCGCGUGAGUGUGUGUGAGUGUGUGUGUGUGUGUGCAUGUGUGUGUGUGUGUGUGUGUGUGUGUGUGAGUGUGUGCAUGUGUGUGUGUGCGUGACAGAGAGAGAGGAUCAUCAGAUUUGUUCAUUGCUGUGGAAAGUCUGAAGGCAGGACAACAAACCAACGGUCACCACAAGAACUGAGCUGAUCAAAGGACAACAAAGAUACGUCAAUCAUCUUAUUUUGAAGUUUGGCCUGAAAGACGGGAUGGAAGGGUAAGAAAACGACGAGCGGAGAAAGGACGAGAUAAAUGUCUCCAGAGAAGAAGACGGAGACGACGAAGAAGACGAGCAAAACUCGAAAAUUCCUCUACCUUUAGGGGGCGCCACAUCUAAUCAUCUACUUCCAUCCUGGAGGUAGACGAUCCCGGAGCAACAGACCAAAACACAAAAAUGAAUUUGCGACCAAAUAAUAUGAAGACCUCUAAAUAAGAGGUGGGGAAUGAGUCUUUACCCGGAGUGAAGGAGAUUAAGUAUCUCUGGGUUUUGUUGACGAGUGAGGGAACAAUGACGCGUGAGACUGGCCGAAGAAUUGGAGCUACACGAGCGGUUUGUUCUGCCACAAAGUUGUGACCAAAUGGGAGCUGAGCCAAAAGGCAAAGCUCUCCAUCUACUGGUCAUGAACGAUGGAGGGUACCCGAAGUACCCGAAAUGGGUUUUUUCAAGAAGGGUCUGUGGGGUCUCCCUUAGAGAGAGUGUGAGAAGCUCAGCCACCCGGGAGGGACUGAGAGUAGAGCCACCGCCCCUUUGUGUGGAGAGGAGUUGAGGUGGUUGAGGCACCUGGUAAGGAUUCCUACCACGUCCAACUGGGAGAAGACCUCAGGUCAGACCAAGGACUAGGUGAAGAGAUUAUGAGUGUAUUCAUUCACACCAGCUCUUCCUAAUCAAACCCUAGUUCAGAAAGUCGCAGGUUGCAGUUCGCUUCAAGUUUUGGCAUUUGGCAUUGUGGGUAAACGCAACCAAAACAUAUGUGAGUGUAGAACGAUUAACCAACAGAUGAGCCAGCUUUGUUAUCCAUUGUUUGUCUUGUCUUCUUCAAUAAUUGAUACAGCGCCACCUCAGGCGAGGAGGGGAACACGUUAUUCAUGUGUUUAAAGAAACAGUUUAAAGAGGAGCAGACGACGUGACGUCGAUGCAGGAGAGACAGAAUCAGAGGCGUGUCAGAAAGAAGAAUGAAUGGUCACUGUACGUUCAACAGGCAGGAAUCUCAUCUCAUGGAAUAAUGGAAUGUUGACACCCUGCUGUUGACCUCUUGACCCUUGACACUUUAACAUCCCCACCCCACCCCCACCGACCACCAACCCAGACCUUCAACAACCCUCGCGUUGUCCACCCUCUGGAGGCCUCUCAUACUUCGACAAGUUUCCAGUGCCAGAAACUGGAGCUUGUUGCCAUAGAAACAGCCUUGUAUAGACGGGGAGGGGUGGAAUCUCUGCCGCAUUGCUCUACUUGGAUGAGUGUUUUGUAUUCAAGUGUGUGAGUGUGUGUUUGUCUCUGAGAGACCUCAUGAAUGAGUGUGUAAUCAGGCUCUUGUGCCGGAGAUACUUGUGCUGUUGUUGUUUUCACGAUGCUCAGCUUCUUUCUUUGCUACUUCAGACGUUUCUCCAGCCUGAGCUGUGUUUUUCAGGACGAGCA